CCUACGGGAGACAGCAGUGGGGAAUAUUGCGCAAUGGUCGAAAGCCUGACGCAGCGACGCCGCGUGAGGGAUGAAGGUCUUCGGAUCGUAAACCUCUGUCAGCAGGGAAGAACGGUCACUGUGCUAAUCAGCAGUGAAUUGACGGUACCUGCAAAGGAAGCACCGGCUAACUCCGUGCCAGCAGCCGCGGUAAUACGGAGGGUGCGAGCGUUAAUCGGAAUUACUGGGCGUAAAGCGCUCGUAGGCGGUAUGUCAAGUCAAGGGUGAAAUCCCCGCGCUCAACGUGGGAACUGCCUUUGAAACUGGCGAACUGGGGGGUGUGAGAGGAUAGUGGAAUUCCAGGUGUAGGAGUGAAAUCCGUAGAUAUCUGGAGGAACAUCAGUGGCGAAGGCGACUAUCUGGCACAUAACUGACGCUGAGGAGCGAAAGCGUGGGUAGCAAACAGGAUUAGAUACCUAGUAGUC
rnacentral:rRNA from 1 species